rnacentral:rRNA from 1 species
UAAGUGAGGAAGGUCUUCGGAUUGUAAAACUCUGUUGUCAGGGAAGAACCCCUAGGAUCGGAUCUUAGGCUGACGGUACCUGACGAGAAAGCCCCGGCUAACUACGUGCCAGCAGCCGCGGUAAUACGUAGGGGGCAAGCGUUGUCCGGAAUCAUUGGGCGUAAAGCGCGCGCAGGCGGUCUUUUAAGUCUGAUGUGAAAGCCCACGGCUCAACCGUGGAUGGCCAUUGGAAACUGGGAGACUUGAGUGCAGGAGAGGGGAGUGGAAUUCCACGUGUAGCGGUGAAAUGCGUAGAGAUCUGGAGGAAUACCGGUGGCGAAGGCGGCCCCCUGGACAAAGACUGACGCUCAGGUGCGAAAGCGUGGGGAGCAAACAGGAUUAGAUACCCUGGUAGUCCACGCCCUAAACGA